rnacentral:lncRNA from 1 species
AUGCAUUGGGGGUUGCUUUGCUUUGCUUGGAGGUGCAAGAUGAUUCAUUGGGGGUUGCUUUGCUGGGAGGUGCAACGUGAUGCAUUGGGGGUUGCUUUGCUUGGAGGUGCAGAGCUGGGCCUGGGUGCUGGAACAUGGAGUUGCAAGGGCUGUUUGUUUUGCUCUGCAUUCCCAUUAUUUGUUGGGAUGAGUUUGUUUGCAUUGUUUGCUCUGUUCUUGGAGUUGCAAAGGCACAGAGUUGCAAAGGCUGUUCCUUUUGCAUUCCCAUUUGCAUCUGUUCCUUCUGCACUCCCAUUUGUUGGGAUGAGUUUGAUUGCAUUGUUUGUUCUGUUCUCGGAGUUGUUUGCUCUGCUCCCUUUGCUCUUCAUUCCCAUUUGCUUUUGGGAUGAGUUUCAACUGCAUUGUUUGCUCUGUUCUUGGGGUUGCAAGGGCUGUUCCUUUUGCUCUGCACUCCCAUUUGUUGUUGCAAUGAGUUUGACUGCAUUAUUUGCUCUGUUCUUGGAGCUGUUUGCUCUGCUCCUUUUGCUCUGCACCCCCAUGUGUUGCAAUGACUUUGCAUUGUUUGCUCUGCUCCUUUUGCUCUGCAUUCCCAUUUGUUGGGAUGUGUUUUAACUGCAUU